CGGCUGCAGCCUCCGCCCCGGGCGCUUGCUCCCCGCGCCGCCGCCGCCGCCGCCGCCGCCGCCGCCGCUGCUGCCGCACCUGCCACCAUGUCGCCGCCGCCGGGUCAUGUCUGACUCUCUCUGGACCGCGCUUUCUAAUUUCUCGAUGCCCUCCUUCCCCGGCGGCAGUAUGUUCCGCCGCACCAAGAGCUGCCGCACCAGUAAUCGGAAAAGCCUCAUCCUGACCAGCACUUCACCCACGCUGCCGAGACCCCACUCCCCGCUGCCAGGUCACCUAGGCAGCAGUCCCCUGGACAGCCCCCGAAACUUCUCCCCCAACACCCCCGCCCACUUCUCGUUUGCCUCCUCCCGAAGUCCUCCUGCUCCUCCCAGGAGCGCCUUCACCAGCUGCCCUACCAGCCCACGGUGGACGAGCUCCACUUCCUUUCCAAACACUUCGGGAGCACCGAGAGCAUCACAGACGAGGAUGGUGGCCGUCGCUCCCCAGCCGUGCGGCCCCGCUCACGGAGUCUCAGCCCCGGGCGCUCCCCCUCCUCCUACGACAACGAGAUCGUGAUGAUGAAUCACGUCUACAAGGAGAGGUUCCCGAAGGCCACUGCGCAGAUGGAGGAGAAGCUGCGCGACUUCACCCGCGCCUACGAACCCGACAGCGUUCUGCCUCUGGCCGAUGGCGUGCUCAGCUUCAUCCACCACCAGAUCAUCGAGCUGGCCCGGGACUGCCUGACCAAGUCCCGUGACGGCCUCAUCACCACGGUCUACUUCUAUGAAUUGCAGGAGAACCUGGAGAAGCUCCUUCAAGACGUGAGUGCACGCGGAGGCCGGGCUGAUAUCAGGCUCAGCACCGCCAAAUUGUGCCCAAUGCACCCCUUUCUUCACCCCACAUACAUUCAGGGAGCUCCUACCACGUUCCAGGCACUGGCGUGGAGCUGAGGACUCAGGGGUGGAAGUGGUCCCUUCCCUAGGUCUGACCGACUGAAGAGGCAGAAUUUCACCUCGCUCAUUUCCCUUAGGUCUUUACUCAAAUGUCACCUUCUCAGGUGGCUUCUUAGGCGGUUCCCAGUCAUUUAAAAUAUUAAACUCGGCCGGGCGCGGUGGCUCAGGCCUGUAAUCCCAGCACUUUGGGAGACCGAGGGGGGCGGAUCCCGAGGUCAAGAGAUCGAGACCAUCCUGGCUAACACGGUGACACCCCGUCUCUACUAAAAAUACAAAAAAAAAAAAAAAAAAAAAAAAAAAAAUUAGCCGGGCGUGGUAGUGGACGCCUGUAGUCCCAGCUACUCGGGAGGCUGAGGCAGGAGAAUGGCGUAAACCCGGAAGGCGGAGCUUGCAAUGAGCCGAGAUUGCGCCGCUGUACUCCAGCCUGGGCGACAGACCGAGACUCCGUCUCAAAACAUAAUAAUAGUAAAUAAAAUAAAAUAAAAUAUUAAACUUAGCCGGGUGCGGUGGCUCAGGGCUGAGGCAAGUGGAUCACCUAAGGUCAGGAGUUCGAGACCAGCCUGGCCAACAUGGCGAAACCCCGUCUCUACUAAAAAUACAAAAAUUAGCUGGGCAUGGUGGUGGGCACCUGUAAUCCCAACUACUUGGGAGGCAGAGGCGGGAGAAUCGCUUGAACCUGGGAGUCGGAGGUUGCAGUGAGCCGAGAUCACACCAUUGCUCUCCAGUCUGAGCAACAAGAGUGAAACUCUGUCUCAAAAAUAAAUAAAUAAAUGAA
rnacentral:sRNA from 1 species